UACAGAGGGUGCAAGCGUUGUUCGGAAUCAUUGGGCGUAAAGCGCGUGUAGGCGGCUUUCUAAGUCUGGUGUGAAAGCCCGGGGCUUAACCCCGGAAGUGCACUGGAUACUGGAUCGCUCGAGGACGGGAGAGGAUAGUGGAAUUCCUGGUGUACCGGUGAAAUGGGUAGAUAUCAGGAAGAACAUCAGUGGCGAAGGCGGUCUGCUGGGCAGUUGCUGACACUGAGGCGCGACAGCGUGGGGAGCAAACAGG
rnacentral:rRNA from 1 species